AGGUAUUGCCAGCUCCUGUGUACUUGUGGGUGCAGAAGCAUCCAAUCCUGCAAAGUAGGACAAGAAGCGCUAAUAACAGCAUUAUGCUGAUGGUUCACACAUUCAUGACAUGAAAAAUCAACAUCAAUGUGGCUGCUUCAUUAAUAUUAUGUAUCUUGAAUAUAUAGAUUACAAACACAAAUGUACAGAGCUCAUCCUUUAUCUUGCUGCAGUUUUAAAUCUGAGUUGAGGAUGACUAUCACUUAAGAUCUGCCUGAAAAAUCUGCUUCUCCGUCUAAUGGAAUCUCAUCAAAAAGUUCAUUUAUUUAAAAAGAACAAAAAAUGAAACUCAAAUACUUAUUACACACAGAGUGAUUAUAUUUUAAGCACUUAAUUCUGCUUACAGCUAAAGAAAAAAAUCUAAUUUAGUUCAAGAGCAACAGAAAAGUAGAAGUUUAAUAAAGAAAUGUCAAACUGACAUGGAAACUUGCGGCUCACAUCCUGAAGAAAAGGCGACUGCACUGCAAAAACACAAAAUCUUACAAAGUAUUUCUGCUCUACACUCCAGAGCCAAAAUCUUAAAAUGACUUAAAAGUAACUUUUUAGAAAGAUAAAGCAGCUCGUUUUAUGUCAACAAUAACUUAAUAUUAAUGAAAAAGUUUUACUUCCACUGGCAGAUUAUUUCACUGAUGAGACAUUUUGUCAUGUAAUAAGUGAAAUAAUCUGUCAGGAGUUAUUGAGUUAAAGAAAGUUUCCAUCUUUCUGAAAAGUUACUUGUGAAUCUUUGUCUUCAAGUGUACUAAGAUAUUUGCAGUAGAAACAGUGAGGUGAUCUAUUUGUUGUUCAUACAGAAAUAAUGAAAUUAAUGUUUAAGCAAUCAGGGUUUGGCUGAGGCUCCUUUUGCAUGAAUUACUCCAUCGGUGCGGCGUGACAUGGAGGCGAUCAGCCUGUGGUUCUGCUGAGGCGUUCAGUAAGUCCAGGUUGCUCUGAUAAAACCUUCAGUUCAUCUCAUUCCCCCCUGAAAGCCACAGCCAGCCAUCACCAAGUCCAGGCUUUGAGAUUUACUGCAGCCGAUGUUUAGAUGAAUUUCCUCCUGGACAAGUCGAGACGUUUUCAAACCACCUGAGCAAUAAUUUUUCCUUUGAUUCAGCUGCAUUGAAAAGUUUCAGAAGUUGGAGACGUCUGACUGCAACUAAACUUUAGUGUGUAUACUUUUUCUCUCCACUCAGUUUUAAAAUACUGUUUGUUCUGCAUGCACCAAAAAUUAACAUUUUAGAAAUGUAUCACUCUGUGUUUUGUAUCUCUAUAAUUUGAGUUUCACUUUUCUUAACUUGAAAUUGUGAAAUAAAUCAAACCUUUGAUGACAUUCAAAGUGACUGAGAAGCACCUGGAUCUGUGUUUCUGUUAGCUGCAUUUCCAUUCCAAAUAUGCGCAAAACGUCGAUAUUCUGCGGAUGUUGAAAAACAGUUUCACAAUUACAGUGCUUCCAUUAAAUAAGAAGCAGAAAUAAAAUCAUACAUAAAUAAGUUUGUUCACACAAUAAAUCAUUAAAAAAGCAUGAUGUCAUCAUCCUUCUACCACUUCCUGUUGUCUUUUUUUAAUCUUUUCUGCCUUUAGUAGCAUCUGGUUGUUGAUCACAUGAAUUGUGAUGCAAAAAAAGUGUUUAUAUUGCAGUUUUAUAUAUCAAUACAGCUGAUAAACAAUUCAUCCUACAGCAAAAACCUAUUGAAAAAUGUGGGGGUUUUUCUUUUUCAAAAUUGCAGUGUUUUUAUUAAGUAAAUUUAUUUCCAUAAUUCCCAUUUUGCACAAUUACAUGGUGAUUGGAGACGCAGCUUGUGAUGCAGUGUAAUGUUUGUGGUUAGUCGGGGCAGAUUAAAUGAGUUUGGGACGACUGAGGUUGGGGAUGAUGUGGCCGAGAUGAUGUUAGAUUUAGAGGAGAAAUGUUGUGAAGGUAAAGGAUUUUUUGGACGGGGGUAACUGGGUGAAUGGGCUUCAAUUUGGGAAGAAAUGAGAAAUUGUGAGAAAUAUUUACUGAUCUGUAAAUAUUCCUGUCAUUUUUCCCAUUUUCCUCGCCCAAAGAAGCUGCCAUGACUCUGAAAUAUCUCAGUCUGUCUGCUUCCGUCUGUAAAAUAUUCCUCUUUAGAGUGUAAAUAUCUCAGUGGCUAACUUUCAAGAUUAUUGAUGAAACAAUUCUCUGGUGGCUUGACCUUUAAACUGGCUGCCUUUUUCUCUCUCCUUUCAUCUGCAAAAAGCAGAGUACGACUAGAAAAGCCACCACCUAUAAAGAUAAAAACCUGUGAGAGUCUGUAAACUCAGAGAAUGGAGACAUCCUUGAUCCUCACUGAGGUAACAGCGGCGUAUUGAUGGUGUGAUUUCCAAGAGGAGUGAAGACAGAGGGAUAGAUGGACUUCCCCGGGGAGCCGUGGAGUGCUGCGGUGCCAACACAGCGUGAGCUCCGGCAGGAAGGACCUUGGGACGGUAAGGAAUAGUUGCUCCUUUCGGUGGAGACUGGAAGCACAGAUUGAACCCAAACCGUUUCCACCCUCACAGAACCGGCAGCAGAACUCACCUCCAGCAUGACGGAGCAGAU